AAUAAGGAUGACACCGCCGCCCAGCCAAAUAAAUACCCGGAAGAUUGGUUUUAUUCAGUGUCACGCUAGAGGGAAGAAGCGUUUGGUUUAUAGUGUAACGUGUAAUGCUGGAGCUAGAGUUAACCCGGAGAGUUUUUUUUUUUUUAAAUAAAUGUUUUUUGUUGUUAAAAGGCGAGUGGAGUCGAGACCGUGGUUAGUAACGUAGGGCGGUGUGUUCGGAGAGGUGGGUUGAAGAUGGAUCUCUUCAAGUGGUGUGAAGUCUGGGGCUGCAAGGAGGGGGUUCUGCUGUCCUGUGCUGCGAUUGAUUUAAGAAGCAUGAUGUCUCUUCAGUGAGGCUGCACUGGCUGAACUCUCCCUGCUUUGUUAGUUGCACUUUGAGGCUCUGAUUUUUAUUUAACAAGUAGAAUUGUUCAACUUUUGCUAAUUUUAGUUUACUGUAAGCCAGUGUGUGUGAAACUCUGCUAUCUUUACAUUAAGCAAUAGCUCAACUGUUUGCAGUAAAUGUCUGGUAUUAACUGAAGCUUUUUGUAUUCCAUUUGUUUAAUAAAAUAAAGGUCUUUCCAGA